AACGAACGCUGGCGGCAGGCCUAACACAUGCAGGUCGAGCGAACCCUUCGGGGUUAGCGGCGGACGGGUUAGUAACGCGUGGGAAUAUACCCUUUGGUACGGAAUAGCCUCGGGAAACUGAGAGUAAUACCGUAUGUGCCCUUCGGGGGAAAGAUUUAUCGCCAAAGGAUUAGCCCGCGUUGGAUUAGAUAGUUGGUGGGGUAAUGGCCUACCAAGUCUACGAUCCAUAGCUGGUUUGAGAGGAUGAUCAGCAACACUGGGACUGAGACACGGCCCAGACUCCUACGGGAGGCAGCAGUGGGGAAUCUUAGACAAUGGGCGCAAGCCUGAUCUAGCCAUGCCGCGUGGACGAUGAAGGCCUUAGGGUUGUAAAGUCCUUUCAGAUGGGAAGAUAAUGACGGUACCAUCAGAAGAAGCCCCGGCUAACUCCGUGCCAGCAGCCGCGGUAAUGUCUGUACU
rnacentral:rRNA from 1 species